AACUAACCGGAUUCCCCUAGUAACGGCGAGUGAAGAGGGAAUAGCCCAGCACCGAAGCCUGCGGUAGUUUUACUGUUAGGCAAUGUGGUGUUUGGGUCGGCUCGCGGGGUUGCCACUCCACUCGAAAUCCAGCAUUGAGUAUGGUCCACUGGAUUUGGCCCAGAGAGGGUGAAAGGCCCGUACGGGUGGAGGUUUCAGACAAGUAAGGCAACUCACUAGGCCGGCCUUAGAGUCGGGUUGUUUGGGAAUGCAGCCCAAAGUGGGUGGUAAACUCCAUCCAAGGCUAAAUACUAGCACGAGUCCGAUAGCAAACAAGUACCGUGAGGGAAAGUUGAAAAGUACUUUGAAGAGAGAGUAAACAGUACGUGAAACCGCAUGCAGGUAAACGGGUGGCGUCAAGCUGCAAGCCCAGAGGAUUCAACCGGUUAGAGUGUAGUACGCGCUUGCGUGUCAAACGGCCAGUGUAAGAUUGGGUAGUCCACUGGAAGACAGUGGGCCCUGCCGCAAGGUGGGGAUGUGUGUACCGAGUGGAUGUCGGAGCACGCUAUCCGUCUAUUGGGCUAUCUAGCCGGUGCACUUUCUCUGUGGUGAACACCACGACCGGUGGAACUGCCAGUCUGCUAUGGUCAAGUCGUGUUUGGUCGGUCCUUGUGGCCUUCUGGAUGCGAUCACGGGCAAAUUCGGUGAACGGCGUAGACGUGCUCUCGGGUGUGUCUGCGUGUUAUCGGCUACCGGUUGUCUUAACGGGCCUGCUUUGUGAUAGUCAAGCCUUCACAGGGUGGUCUGGUGGACCUUAGUGGUAAGAAUAACUGUGCAGGGCACUGGAGUUUUCGGCCUCAAAUGCAGCCAGCAUGCACGCUUGUAGUGUCUAUGUGGGUGCUCUCGUGGCCUGCCUGUUGUCGGGUCUGAUUGUCGUGUUGCCUGCGCAAAGUGGGUUCGGCAGUGGCUCGAUACAGGAUGGGUUACGUGGGGUGCCUGCAGUGUUGGUUGUAGAGGGCCUGAUAGUCAGUGGUGUAGUGGUAGACGAGCUACCCGACCCGUCUUGAAACACGGACCAAGGAGUUUAACAUGUGUGCAAGUCAUGGGGUCCUACGAAACCCAAAGGCGCAGUGAAAGUGAAGCUUCAUGUCUCUAGGGGCAUGGAGUGAGGUGAGAUCCCGUCGUUUCUCCACCAGUCUCUUCUGUCAGAAGCAGGCAUUAGAGCGGCGGGCGCAUCACCGGCCCGUCCCAUGAUGUGGUCAUUGGAAAAGGCUGCUGCAGGCUUGCUUGUGGUAGUACUCCCAGUGCGUCAUCGGGGCGGAGCAUG
rnacentral:rRNA from 1 species